UCUACUAUGCAUCCACACGGUAGAUCCACGGGCAGGGGCUCCUCCUCCCUGAGUGCCUGGCUCUCGCAACUCAAGUUUUGUUCUUAUUUUGGUUUGGUUUUUUGAGACAGGGUUUUUCAGUGUCACCUUGGCUGUCCUGGAACUCACCCUCUAGACCAGGCUGGCCUCGAACUCAGAGAUCCACACGUCUCUGCCUCCGGAGUGUGGAGAUUACAGGCGUGGCCUCCCUUUGCCCGGUGCACCUCACGGUGUAUUCUGCCUCUGUGUGCAUCUUUUAUCCCACCUGAGGCUGGCCUAUUCCCAGACACAGUUCUGGGUUCGAGGCAGAGGAGCAGCAUGAGUGGGUGUAUUAGAAGCAAAGGAGGACGUGGGCUGGCAAUCAGGCUUUUGCUGGGCUCCUCUGAGUGAAGUACUGCCGAAGAGAGCUCAUUUAGGAAGCCCAGGACCCAAAUAGCCUACCUGCAUCCUCUGCCUUGGUCAAUCCCUUUCUCACCCAUGAUGUUAAUUUGAGGGAAAUUUUGCGUUGAAGCCCAGCAAACAAGAGAAGGAAGAAGCUGACGUGGCUGCAACCCUCUAACGUUAGCUCUCAGGUCACCUCUACAGAACAAGGAGCAAAGUCCAGCUAGAGAACCACCUGCCGGUUAAAGUUCAAGGCCUUAUCGUGGCCUCACUGGCCUUCCUGGCCUUAUGCCCUACCAGCAGUGAACUAACCUCACCUCCCCUCCAUGCCAAGUUCCAGUCUGAGCACACACACGCACACACGCACGCACACACACAAAUAGGCACAUACCACGUCUUUCCGGACUCAGAAUCAUCUGCUUGCUCCCUGGUAGAAGGCGGUAGGAGAAAAAUUCUUCCAUUUUUCCAGACACUCACAGGUGAGACCCCAGGAAGAGACCCCAGGAAGGACAGACAAGCACACUACCCAGAAUGCCGGUUAGCAGAAACAGAUGAACCCCAAAGCACAGGCAGAUGGGGAUAGAAAGUACUUCACUUAGCCUGGGAGCGUGGAGAAGAUUUCAGAAGAAUUACUCACUAUGUGGAUUUAGCAAGGAAGAAAAAGUUGGGAGUAAUCUUAAACACAGAAUGUUAAGGGAGAAACAGUUUCUUCCUCCUUCCUUUCUUUUCUCCCUUCCUUCCCUCCAUAUAGUGUACAUAUCCACACACACAUACACACAGACAGAAACACACUUGUUACACCACACAUCAUAUAUAUACACGUGUAUUGCACACCACGAGCUGUAUUUGUGGCAUGGUAUAUAUAAUAAAGGAUGUAUCUGUAAUUUU